rnacentral:rRNA from 1 species
AGCACUGGCCAUGGCCACCCUGAACGUGCUCAAUCUCGUCUGAUCUCAGAAGCUAAGCAGGGUCGGGCCUCGUUAGUACUUGGAUGGGAGACCACCUAGGAAGACCAGGCGUUAUAGGCA